GUUUAGUGAAGCAAUGGAUAAGGUCUUGUCCACUUAUUGGUGUGUGCUCACCAAUAACUGUUAGAUGAUGUGUGUAUAGAUUGGUAGGAUCACGGUAUCCAUUAGAAACCAAUCGCAUCUAGGUUUUCAUUUUUCCAUUCGAGGAGUGUGGGAGAUUCGAACAAAUAGUUAGAGCCUUAUUUGAUCUUAAAAAUCUCUAAAAUAAAUAUUUAAUAAGUA
rnacentral:lncRNA from 1 species